rnacentral:rRNA from 1 species
GAUGAAUGCUGGCGGCGUGCCUAAUACAUGCAAGUCGAGCGAAGAGGGGACGGGUGAGUAACACGUGGAUAACCUCCUAUAAGACUGGGAUACAUUCGGGAAACCGGAGCUAAACCGGAUAAUUAUAGAUGGAUCCGAGCUGCAUUAGCUAGUUGGUAAGGUAACGGCUUACCAAGGCAACUAUGCAUAGACGACCUGAGAGGGUGAUCGGCGACAUUGGAACUGAGAAACGGUCCAGAGUCCUACGGGAGGCAGCAGUAGGGAACCUUCCGCAAUGGGCGAAAGCCUGACGGAGCAACGCCGCGUGAGUGAUGAAGGUCUUCGGAUCGUAAAACUCUGUUAGUAGGGAAGCGGUACCUAAUCAGAAAGCCACGGCUAACUACGUGCCAGCAGCCGCGGUAAUUC